GUUCUAAGGAGUCAUGCACUGUCUUUGGCAAGGUGGGAAAGCAUAAACUCACAGCAGGCACUCAACAAAUGCCACGCUGAAUGAAUGAAGCCCUUUCUCACGUUCACCCUCAGAUCCAGGGGAAUGCAGGGCAUGGCCCCUCCGGAAACCCAGGCAAGAUGCCCCCACAGAUGAUCUGUGGCCCAAGGCGAGAUCCUUGGCUGAUAGAAGAGCAAGUCUACUCCACAUUCAAGAGUAGCUGUGGCUGAGAUGAAUCAGUGACACACUGGAGUCUGGGACCCCAGCCAGGGUUCUUCUUGGAGUUGUGAGCUCAUUCAGCCUUUGAGAAGGGCCACCACUUAUAUACAUGCUGUGGAUCCAAAGACAGUCCCUGAAGAGUCCUGCAUGCUAAUCUCUGUCUCAGACUCUCAGUUCCCAGAGGACCCAACUUGCCGCAAUUACCAACCCAUUGGUUUACUCUUGCUCACUGCCCUUUUUUAAAAAAUUAAAAUGUAACACACAUUUUGGAUAGGGUACCCUACUUGGAAGGGGUAUGGUACCUAACUAUCCAAUUAAGUAAUAAUCUAGGUGUUGCUGUAAAGGUAUUUUGUAGAAGUGAUUAACACAAUUAGUUGACUUUAAGUAAAGACUACCCUCAAGAAUGUGGGUGGGCCUCACCCAAUCAGUUGAUGACCAUACGAGGAGAAAUUGAUGUUUCCCCGGAGGAGAAAAAAUUGUGCCUAAGAACUGCAACAUCAACUCCUGCCUGAGUUUCAGUCUGCCAGCCUCCCCUGCAGAUUUUGGACUUGCCAGCUCCACAGUCAUGUGAGCCAAAACCUUAAAAUAAAU